GGGUUGCUAACUCAAUGGUAGAGUACUCGGCUUUUAA
rnacentral:tRNA from 106 species